GAUUUAUUACAAUUGAAUAGUUUAAAAAAAUUUAUGACUUUAGGUAUGUUAACUAAAACCGUUAUAUUUAGGCAAACUGUUCAUUCUUGAUUUGUUCCCAUGCAAGUUUUAUUGGUUUUAAGGUGGAUAAUCAUCAUGGCAACCUUGAUGGAUUCAAGGAUCCGAUUUGAUAUGCUAUUGUGCAUUAUUGAUAAUUUUUUUUAUACCUUAAUUAAACUGGAUUAUUGUGGUUUAUUCAAUGGCCAACUUGAAUGAGCAUUGCGCUGGAGAAGAUGUUUUCAUCCAUUCAAUUGGCUAUUUGGUAUCAAUUAUUCAACAUUAAAAAUAAUUUUCACUGGAAAAAGUACAAAUGGAGAAUAAAGAAGAGCUUCCAUGUUCAUGGUGGAAACGAUAAUUGGUGCAAUAGCAAAGUUCCCGAUGAUAAUGAUGGAAAUGAAGAGCAACUGUAGCAAUAUACUUUUAUUAUUUUCCGCUUUUUAUCAAGAUAAAAGUUUCUUGAUUAACUACUCAUGGACAGAACCAUUAACAUCAUCAUCAUCAAUUUUCCAUCAAUAAUCGACUUCUUAGGUUGAAAGAAAUGGAUGCAAAGUGGACUCGAUCAUUCUGGUUCAUACAAAUGAACAUCUCGAUGAGUCUCUGGCGUUAAAGUCCAAUGUCAAUGGUAGCUAAACACAUUUAUGUUCAUCAUGAACAUUCACUAUUAAAUAGUGAUAAACUUCCUGAUCAAAUUUGACAAACUUAUCAUUAGUCAAUAGUUUUCCUGUUUCCGUUUUUUGCUGUUAGGAUGAUGAUGAAUAUCCAGGAACCAUGAUAAAAGUGGUUGUUACUUAUUAAUGCAAACCUUUUGUUCUAGAAAAUUGAACUUUUCUUCUUCUUUUAUAGCUUUCACCAAUCAUGCUGGUAUUCACAUUUCUUACCAUGAUGAUGAAUAUGGUAAAUAUUAUCAUGAAAUGUUUCAACUGC